UUACAAUAGGGCAACCCAAACCAAACCCUGGCCAACCCCACCUCCAACCCCCCGCGCAGCCGAAGGAAUCCUCGACGGCGACGACGAUGGCCGCCGCGACGGAGAAGACGGCCGAGGAGAUCCGCCGCGAGCUCCAGGAGCUCCAGCGCCAGCACCGCGAGAUCAGCGAGCGCCUCCGAGACCCCCGCGGCCUCCGCCGCGGCGCGCCCGCCGCUGCAGGACCCGGCGGGCCCCGCCCACUUCGCGGAUUCCCUAGACCAGCUGUGGAUUUGGUGGACCAGUCUGCGCCUAAGCGGAGGAUUCUAUCUGCAGUGGUUAAAGUGGAGGAUACUGAAGCUAAGGAGGAUGUCAAGAAGGAAGCGGAGGCAGAGGGGCCGGAGGGCGGUUCGGCUGCUGCUGAAGGCGGUGAGAGGAGGGAUGGUGGGUUCAGGAGGGAUGGGAGCCAGCGCAUGCCGAGGAGGGAGUUUGAUAUGUCAUUGCCAGAACCUCUCCCGAGGGAAUUUCCCAAGGAUGAGGAUCAAAGCCUUGUGAAGAGGAACAAGAGGAUGCUGGGGAAGCUUCUUGUCGGUACAUUAGAGAAAUUUCAGCAAGAGGACAAAAAACUGUCCAACACAGAGGCUUAUAUGCGCAGAUCAGAGGUUCAGCGAAAGGCUGAUCAAAAGGCUCGUGAGGAAAGUGAAAGGUUGCGGCAGCAAGAGCGAGAGCAAGCAAUAGAGAAGCGUAAGCGUGAUAUGAUGCUGCGUGCUCGAGUAGCUGCUAAGGCAGAAGAAAAGAGGUUGGAGCUGUUAUACAUGCAGUGGGCUGAGCAUCACAAAAAGCUGUCCAAUUUCUUAAGGUUAUUUUUAUUCCUGGUCCAAAAGUAUCCAUAUUGACAAUUAAAUUGAGGGAAGAUGCGUUUCUGAUUGUGCAAAUCUUGAUGUUUGAUGUUCAUAGGGGUUUCUAUAUCCAUUUUGCUAAAUUACACAUUAGUAUCUUUUUGAACAUUAUUGUUGUUUGUCAGGACAACUGCGGAACCACCAAUUUACUACAUGCCAGCUAAACCAAUAAUUGAUGAUCCGGCUAUUGCUGAGGAGAACAAGGAAAAGGCAUUUCAAGAAUGGAAAUCUGAACGCAGGGCUGAGCUAACUCAGUUUCAAAAGCAAGUCGAAGAACAGUACAUGUCUAAUGUUGAGAGGCAGUUGGAAAGGAUGCAGAAUGCGCGGAAUGCACGGAGGGGUAAUGGUCCUUCAAACAUGCAAGAAAUGGACAAGGAGCUGGACACGCACAGGGCGGAGCAUGGUCCAAAAACUCGACGAGUUCUUGAGGGUGGCAAUGACGAUGAGGAUGAUAUGGACGAUAUGGCCGUGGAAGAUGAGCUGAUGGAUGAAGUCCUUGGCAUUAACGAGCCAAUCAGCGAUGAGCAAACCAAGCCGUCUGAAGAAGCUGCUGAUGGUGUUCCGGUGUCUGAGGAAGUGCAAUAGGUAAUUUGUUUUGUAUUGUUGCGAGGUAGGCAUCUAGGAGUUCCACAUUUGAUAUCCUUCAGCUGCCCUCAUUUUCUGACGCUUGUUGUAUGUCUGUUGACGCUUGAGAUUUUCCCCGCUGUUAUCAAGCCAUAUAUUGUUGCGGGAUGUAUUGCCGUUGAGCGAUAUACUCUGUUAAUCAUUGCAUCCUUUGCGUUUCUAGUAUAAAUCGAGCAAUUUACUGAUGAA